GGAUUGCAUGUCACCAUGACUCAGCAAGGAUGUUUCUAGCUGAAGAAAUUGAAUUCUAAAGAGGAAGGAAAAACACUUGAUUCACCUCUCCUCCUCCCAUCUUUCUGUCUUGACAUCAACACCUCUCAAAGAACUCAGCUAAGGGUGAAUGGUCUCAGGCUGAAAGGAGACCCAGCCUGUGCAAUGUAUAGCAGCACAUGGAUGCCUGCCUCAUUCAGUGCACAGGACGGACCCAGUUUGGGAUUGAAUUAAGGUUAUCUAGCAAUGGGGCUGUUGUUGGUCAAUACCUUCCUGAUUUGUUGCGGUGGUUUGAAGGCAUGUGGUGAAUGAGGUUGCAAAAGGCUGGGAAGGGGGAGGAAAGAAGGAAAAAAAAACCAACCCAAAACACAGGUUAACUUGAUGUUCCAGCUAAACCCGAAGAUAAGACGCUGACUCGAGCCCAAGGCCAGCUACUACCUGCCAAGACAGAAGGAGGGGAAGUCCAACCCCCCCCAACCAGCCGUGAGGAAGGAGAGUUGUUGAAUGAACUGCAGAGGCCACGAAAAGAAGCAAGAUGGCAAAGGCCAGCCAGGGACAAACAAAACAGUCUCACAGCCCUGAAACCGGUGUGUUUUGGGAAAGAUGAAGAAGCCAUGGAAGGCUGGUUUGGACUGGUACACAGAGUAUGGGGAGGAAAGGUCUCUGAAGGAGACGCCCCCAAGAAACCCCAGGACUUAAAACCCUCCUGGGAGCUAAGGCAAAUCGGAGAUCACAGCAGAUCCUGGAUGACCCGUGCAAGGACAAGAACUCCCACCCACCCCUCCCCCUCUUCCUCUUAUGUUACACCCAGGCUUGGCCAGCCUUGGGUAGUGCAGGUGUGAGUAUGAAAGUGGCUUAAGGCUUGGGGCACUAAUGCAUUCUUCCCUCCUCUGAGUGUUGUGGGGACCCUCCCCUCCCCCACACUCUCAGCUGUUAUUUUAUUAUUUUAUCAAUAAAGCUUUAAAACUUA